UCAACCAUUAAGCCUGGCUUGUUGUUGGACUUCUGCGGCUGAAACAUGUGGCAGGUCCGAAAAAUAAUGACGGUGUCGUGUUUGACCCUAGAUGCAACGAGCUUUUUAUAGCACGCAUUGAAGUGGUCGACUGAACUGGUCUUAACCAUCAAUUUCUAAGG
rnacentral:misc_RNA from 1 species